AAGAAAUUAGUUAAUUUAUAACAUUCGCUUGUCAUGCGUAAGUAAUCUAAAAGAUAUUUCUUA
rnacentral:tRNA from 1 species